rnacentral:rRNA from 1 species
CGUCUAGGCGGCAGCCUAAGUCCCAUGUGAAAGCUCCCGGCUCAACUGGGAGAGGGCGUGGGAAACUGGGCAGCUAGAGACUCGGAGGGGGGUGUGGAAUUCCCGGUGGAGUGGUGGAAUGCGUUGAGAUCGGGAGGAACACCAGUAGCGAAGGCGGCACCCUGGCCGAGAUCUGACGCCGAAGCGCGACAGCGUGGGGAGCGAACG